AGACAGAGGUGGCAAGCGUUGUUCGGAUUUACUGGGCUUAAAGGGCGUGUAGGCGUCCUGGUAAGUCAGAUGUGGAAGCCUUGGGCUCAACCCAAGAAUUGCAUUUGAUACUGCCGGGAUUGAGUCGUGCAUGGGAGGGCGGAAUUCCUGGUGUAGCGGUGAAAUGCGUAGAUAUCAGGAGGAAGGCCGGUGGCGAAGGUGGCCCUCUGGGCAAUGACUGACGCUGAGGCGCGAAAGCGUGGGGAGCAAACAGGAUUAGAUACCCUAGUAGUCC
rnacentral:rRNA from 1 species